CAGUAGCCACGGGAAUACGUAGGUGGCGAGCGUUGUCCGGAAUUAUUGGGCGUAAAGGGAGCGCAGGCGGACAUAUAAGUCCAUCUUAAAAGUGCGGGGCUCAACCCCGUGAGGGGAUGGAAACUGUAUGCCUUGAGUGCAGGAGAGGAAAGCGGAAUUCCCAGUGUAGCGGUGAAAUGCGUAGAUAUUGGGAGGAACACCAGUGGCGAAGGCGGCUUUCUGGACUGUAACUGACGCUGAGGCUCGAAAGCCAGGGGAGCGAACGGGAUUAGAUACCCGCGUAGUCCCUGUCUCUUAUACC
rnacentral:rRNA from 1 species